rnacentral:misc_RNA from 1 species
GUCAUUAAUAUCUAUACUGAUGUCCGCCUGCUUUGCUGCCGGAACACCAGUAAGGGUUAUACCUUUUGAGACAUCUUUAGUUGAGCUCUGUGUCCCAGAAAAUGGCUGAGAAGGUCCAAGAUUGUUUUUACCAGUGAAAUCCUUGCCAGUUGUCUCAACCUUUUUAGGCUCUGAAAGAUUAGAUGCAGGAUCCUUCCGAGGCAUGACAGCAGUUACUUGCCGCACAGCAAGAUGUCCAGAUCCAGCUUCUCCCAUUUCCUCAAUCAAGUGUUUCUUAUUUAUACCUGUAGUGUAAUCUUUAUCAUAGUUGGCCUUAAGAACACCAUCCCUGUCCAACACAUCUUCAGAAUCAGAAAAUUUUUUGUUCAUCUGAGACACUGCAUCAGCGAACUCCUUGUACUUUUGAAGUUGAGCAAGUCCAUCAUUGAUGGUUUGAGUGUCUGCAUAUGAUGGUUUUGAAGUUGAUGUGGAGUUCUCGGUAUGGGGAGCAAAAUUACUCUGAUGCAACUUUUCAACAGUUUCUGCAAUUGAAGUAAGCAACUGAGAACCAAGUGAGUCAUCAGAUUUUGAUAACCUGUUCAGCAACUCUGCUUGCUCCCGCGGUAUUCUUUCUGAAUAAUAAACUCUCUGAGGA